GACAUGAUUUUACUGGUGGCGGAUGAAGUCUGAUGUUAGAAGCUUCUGUGUAAUCUGCCAUAAGUCAUGCAAAAAUGUACUGUGCAUGUAUUUAGGAUAUGUUAGUAUAAAGGGGUAAAACCAUGUUAAUGCCUUUAUUUCCAUUUUUCUCAAUGACAACUUUUGGUAUUUGCAGGUGUCUUCCAGCAAGGAUGCCUACUCUCAUGGGAUCUUUGGCAUUGGGAAGUACAGGACGGAGUUCCUGUCAAGAUUGCAGAAUUUGGAAGUCUGGAUGACUAGACAGAAAUAAUUACUUUAUGAAAUAGAAAUGGAAGAACUCGAUACAAGUCCAACAAUUGUGGAUCCUACAUGUUCAGUGCCACUUGAGUAGGUGUGGUGUUCAUAUAAAGUCGCUGACUGAAGAGUGGUGGCUUCAAAGCCAUCUGUGUGGUUGCUUGUGUGCAGACACUUUUGGUAGCACUGUCUCGGUAAGUGUUAUAGACAUUAGUGAGACUAAUUUUUUUAUGCAGAAAAAAGAAUAGAGUAGAAUUAUAAGCAGUUUUGGAGAUUCUUCUGUAAUUGUUGUAUACACCUGCUAGUCUUUUAAAAAUGUACUUCAUUCAGAUUAGGGCUCUUGACUUAAAAUGCUCCAGAAAUGGUAAAGCUUGCAUUAGGCUUUGCUUUUAAAAUAUUUUAGGACUAGUUAUAACUACUCGGAAGGUAUCUUUAAUAGAUCUGUUCUUUUCAGUUUUUUCUGGAGAUGUGAGGGUGCAGACAGUUCUGAAGAUGGAUGGAUACAAAUGUAAUGCAGAUUUGAUGUAUGCAUAUAAUUUUGCUAUUAUAUAAAGUGUGUAAA